GAUGAACGCUGGCGGCGUGCCUAACACAUGCAAGUCGAACGAAGCGCUUUCUUUUGAUUCUUCGGAUGAAGAAGACUGUGACUGAGUGGCGGACGGGUGAGUAACGCGUGGGCAACCUGCCCUGUACAGGGGGAUAACAGUUAGAAAUGACUGCUAAUACCGCAUAAGCGCACGAGGACGCAUGUUCUUGUGUGAAAAACUCCGGUGGUACAGGAUGGGCCCGCGUCUGAUUAGGUAGUUGGUGGGGCAGCGGCCUACCAAGCCGACGAUCAGUAGCCGACCUGAGAGGGUGACCGGCCACAUUGGGACUGAGACACGGCCCAAACUCCUACGGGAGGCAGCAGUGGGGAAUAUUGCACAAUGGGGGAAACCCUGAUGCAGCGACGCCGCGUGAAGGAAGAAGUAUUUCGGUAUGUAAACUUCUAUCAGCAGGGAAGAAACUGACGGUACCUGACUAAGAAGCACCGGCUAAAUACGUGCCAGCAGCCGCGGUAAUACGUAUGGUGCAAGCGUUAUCCGGAUUUACUGGGUGUAAAGGGAGCGUAGACGGAGAGGCAAGUCUGAAGUGAAAGCCCGGGGCUCAACCCCGGGACUGCUUUGGAAACUGCAGUUCUAGAGUGCCGGAGAGGUAAGCGGAAUUCCUAGUGUAGCGGUGAAAUGCGUAGAUAUUAGGAGGAACACCAGUGGCGAAGGCGGCUUACUGGACGGUGACUGACGUUGAGGCUCGAAAG
rnacentral:rRNA from 1 species